ensembl:snRNA U6 U6 spliceosomal RNA
GUGCUUGCUUCAGCAGCACAUGUACUAAAAUUAGAAUAAUAUAGAGAAGAUUAGCAUGGCCCAGGCCCAAGGGUGACACACAAAUUCAUGAAUGUUCCAUAUUUUA